GCUUACGGCCAUACCACCCUGAGUGCAUCCGAUCUUGUCUAAUCUCGGAAGCAAAGCAGGGUCGGGUCUGGUAAGUACUUUGAUGGGAAACCACCUGAGAAUACCAGGUGCUGUAAGCU
ensembl:rRNA 5S_rRNA 5S ribosomal RNA